AGAGUUUGAUCAUGGCUCAGGAUGAACGCUAGCUACAGGCUUAACACAUGCAAGUCGAGGGGAAACGAUAUUGGAAGCUUGCUUCCGAUAGGCGUCGACCGGCGCACGGGUGAGUAACGCGUAUCCAACCUGCCCACCACUUGGGGAUAACCUUGCGAAAGUAAGACUAAUACCCAAUGACGUCUCUAGAAGACAUCUGAAAGAGAUUAAAGAUUUAUCGGUGAUGGAUGGGGAUGCGUCUGAUUAGCUUGUUGGCGGGGUACGGCCACCAAGGCUACGAUCAGUAGGGGUUCUGAGAGGACGGGUCCCCACAUUGGAACUGAGACACGGUCCGAAACUCCGUACGGGAGCA
rnacentral:rRNA from 1 species